rnacentral:rRNA from 1 species
GACGUAGGGGGCGAGCGUUGUCCGGAUUUACUGGGCGUAAAGAGCGCGUAGGCGGUCUGCUAAGUCGGAAGUGAAAUCUCCAGGGCUCAACUCGGAAAUUGCUUUCGAUACUGGCAGACUCGAGUGACAGAGAGGUAAUUGGAAUUCCCGGUGUAGUGGUGACAUACUUUGAUAUCGGGAGGAACACCAGAUGCGAAGGCGGAUUACUGGCUGUCAACUGACGCUGAGGCGCGAAAGCGUGGGUAGCAAACAGA